CCGCCCCCGGGGCGCGUUGGCGGGAGAAGGCGGCGCGGUUUUGGCGCGGCGAACCCGGAGCGCGUGGAGGGAGCUGGCGGUGGCUGAUAGCAGAAAGCCAGCAAACGCUCCACAUCGUGCCCUCUGGUUACUUGGCGGAAAUGCAGUUACACGUUCAUACGUGUUGUAGAUCGUGGCAGGUCAGUGCAGGAGAAGCAGUAUUGUUACCCGGGAGCAGAGCGGGCACAAGACGUGGCAGCGGGUGGCAGCACACAUCUUAAUGCCCUAGGAAGAACGAAUUGUGCAAGCAGCAUAAUUGCAGCAGAAACAAAUAUAUUGCUUUGGAUCCAUAUUAUUAAAGGUGAUUAAGACAGUUGUCUGAGGAGCAGCACCUGCUGUAUGUUGUUUCAGUCUUUCUGCCUUUCUUCAGCGUACACAGAUAUUCACGCAAAGCCAGGAAAACGGACAGCCUCAGAAAUGGAAAAAAGACUGCUCUUUGCCAGCCUGCCUUAGGAGCUGCUCUAAGCCAGAUCAGGAGUGUUCAGCCAAUAAUUUGCAAAGGUUUUUAAAUAGUUUGAAAUAUAUACCUCAAAGACUCCU